rnacentral:rRNA from 1 species
UACGUAGGGGGCUAGCGUUGUCCGGAAUCAUUGGGCGUAAAGCGCGUGUAGGCGGUCCGGUAAGUUCGUUGUGAAAGCCCCGGGCUCAACCUGGGAACUGCAAUGGAAACUGGCGGGCUUGAGUGUGGCAGAGGGGGGUGGAAUUCCGCGUGUAGCAGUGAAAUGCGUAGAGAUGCGGAGGAACACCGAUGGCGAAGGCAGCCCCCUGGGCCAACACUGACGCUCAGGCACGAAAGCGUGGGGAGCAAACAGG